rnacentral:pre_miRNA from 2 species
AAGAUACUUCAUCCGUUUCAAAAUUCUUGUAUUAGAUGUGUCUAAAUAUGAAUAUAUCUAGUUAUAUUUUAGUGUUAGAUACAUCCGUAUCUAGGCAAAUCUUAAACAAAAUUUUUGGGACGCGGUAGUAUUAC